rnacentral:rRNA from 1 species
GAUGAACGCUGGGCGGCGUGCCUAACACGAUGCAAGUCGAACGGACAGUUUUUGGAAAGUUCUUACGGGAACUGGAAUCUAAAUGUUAGUGGCGGACGGGUGAGUAACGCGUGAGCAAUCUGCCUUUCAGAGGGGGAUAACAGCCGGAAACAGAUGCUAAUACCGGAUAACAACACUAGACGCAUGUCUAGAGUUUGAAAGAUGGUUCUGCUAUCACUCUUGGAUGGACCUGCGGUGCAUUAGCUAGUUGGUAAGGUAACGGCUUACCAAGGCAAUGAUGCAUAGCCGAGUUGAGAGACUGAUCGGCCACAUUGGGACUGAGACACGGCCCAA